CUAUGGCUUGGACUUGCUUCUCUUUCCCACUUUUACCCCAUCAACAUUGCGACCACAGUGGAAGAAGUUGAGUUUCUCGCCCGGCAAGACCCGUCCGCCUAAAUUCUUGCAACAUUUCUCAUCUCUUACAGCAUUUAUCUUUGUUGUCCGCCUCUUAACUCGCUUUGCUCUUUCCGCUUGCUUAUGCCGAGUCGCACUAGCGGCUGCUUAGUACACCUCCGAUUACAUCCAACUCAAUCAACAUCGCCCGUCUCUUCUUCAUGUCCGGAUAACUGAAUCGAGCACCAACCAGAUCCAAAUAGGAAAUUCUGAGGAACAACAUCCGAUCGAUAAAGCAAAGCUCCGCGCCAACCACCGACGCUUCACCACAUCAGCGCUGCUGAGCUACAUCAGCGUCGUCCGCAAAACAAGGCGACUUCUUCUUCCUUCCUCUCGGAUCAACCAUCAUUCCUUCUUUGCUCUUUCUGAGGAACAAUACCAACAACCAAAUCAGUGAUUCAUCAACGAAAUCAAUGGAACCGAUGAGUUCAAUCUACUCGUUGUCAUUUACCGUCUUAAUUGAUUAAUUUCAGAAUCGAUUAUAAGGGCAUCGUGAAUUGGAUUUCAAUUGAUGGAGAAGAAACUUGUGAGACCAGGGAAGAGUAGUAGCUGGAAAUUUGUGAAUGCAUGAUCAUUUGGAGCUGCAGCUGCUUUGAUUUUUCUCAUGUAUGGGAGCAGGAUACAGCACCAGAAAGAGUGGUGUUGGUAUAUCAUCUAUGGAAGUGCCCGAUAGGGGUGAAGGUAUUUGGUAAAUCACUACAAGAAUAUGAGCUGAACUCCCAGAGAACAACACUUAGCCUCAUAACCAUCAGCAGACGGAUAUUGAACCACAACAAACACGUCAAAGAUAAGUAUUCCUUGAUCUUUACUUGUAACAUGCGACUUCCGUUACCUAUGAUUCAUUUGCUUAAUGGAAACUGUUUGAUUUAUUGCUCGAACUUACUUGAACGCUCUCUGCAUUCUACAACCUUUAAAUUUUGUUUGAUAUAUGACACCUAAUUGGAACGAUCAAUUUGCCUGCACUCUUAGUAAGCUUCACGUUGGUUCAAAACCAGCAUCAGCGGACUCGAUAAUAAUGCUUAACCUGCUUUUUAUUUCCUCUUCUUUUAUGGUUCACCAUCAUUUGGUAAAUGUCCCGUAAUCUGAAUGUUGCUUUAUGUUUUGGAAAAUUUGUAAUAUGACUUGGUUGAUCGCUUAAUCUAAGAAGCGCCUUAUGCCAGUUUAUGCGUUAACUAUUUGAUGACAGUCCUUGGAGCACCAAGUUCAUUUCAUAACGUGUUUGCUUCAUGAUGUUCUCACCCUGGCAUCCUAAGAUACAUUAUGGUUAAUCCUCUUAAAAUUGCAUGCUUGUAUCAGUUCGAGUUAAGCGCAUUUGAGCAUACCCGGAGUUCAAUCAGUUUAUCUUUGAAUUAUACAGCUUAACAAUGUUGUGUUACUUAUAAUUUUCAGUUGCUGGAAUCAGUUUCUGCUACAUAUUAUUAUGAUUUUUGAUCUAACUCGCAAAAAAAAAAGAUAGAUGUUUAAUUAUCUUUGAGAAAUAGAUGAUUAUUUAGUUUCUGCUACAUAUUAUCUUUGAAUCGGCUCACACCCCUGGUGAAUGUUCUUGAAGAAUGUGGAGAAGGAAUUGAUAAAUCCACCAUAAAUCAACGAAAAAGAUAAGUCCUUUGUACUUAAUCCAAUCUCUUUUAAUUCCGAUUGGUGUGUAAAAGAAUUUUUGAGAAUGAUUAUAAAGUUUGAAAACUCAUAAGAAAUUAACUUUGUAUCGGAUUGUUUCGUUCGAUCCAGAAUCAGCAUUUUGAUACAUUACCUAAUGGCCAUUCUCUUUAGUUCAAAUAUAGUUUUGGGAAAGCUUUAGGGUUCCGAUAUGGGUUUUGAUUUGUCUCUUGAUUGUCGGUAUUGAUAGAAGAUCGAACUUCAGAUUCAGUUCGUGUUUGAUUUUUUAUUACCCGUCAAUUGAUUUUUAAUUGACUUUGAAAUUUGAUUUGUUUUAACUUUGAACUUUAUCUGAAUUUAUACUCGUUCCUGGUCGAUUAUAUUAGCAUCAAUUGAGAAAUCUCUUAAGUGUUCAGACGUAUCAAUAAAUGUAUUCAAAUUUCCAGCUCUUGAAUUACAAUUACUGACCAGAAUUUUCCUCAAUAUGACUGUUAGACAGGUUUUCAAGCACAUGACAACUUAGCUGAAGCUUCCAGGGAAUCAUUGAACAGGAUGACGUGAGCAUACUUAUCGACAUAUCACUACUUCAUUACCAUCCGGAAUGGAUUUUGAAUACCACUAAGCACAUGAAAGCCAGAGAGUCGCUGAGAAUUGUCGCUUGAGAGAGAAUGCUGCAGUACCAACACUAGUCCGCUCGGACACUAGGCCUACUUCUUCUGAGAGUUCAAGAAAGGAGCAACAACAACAACAAAGAUCAAGUGGGAAUAAUGCGCCUUACACCAUAUUACAAACAUCCGGAGACUGAUUUAUUGUGUGGAGAUAGAAGGACUAAAUGAGAAGCUCAAUUUUCUCAUGUAUGACUUUGAACGGGCUGUAGUAGGUCUGAGGAGAAAUGGUAGGAGUAAUGGAGACUAACCAAGUGAAGGUAAGUACCCAAAGCGAAACAACAGCAGAAACAAAGGAGAAAAACAGUUUCACUAGUAAACCCUAACGUUUGUUUCUGAAGCCACUAGCUCUGCUACUGACCACAACAACAGUACCCUCGCUCUUUAUCCUUAGCUGCUGCCAGCUCAACAGGCGAUGACUAUAUCAAAUUAUCAGUGUUUAUCACAUCUAAGGUACCACCAGUCCGGCUCUGAGAAGCAGAAAGCGACUUACCCGCUCUUUACGCAGAUAAGUACCCAGUACCUCUUCUUAAUUUAAGCAUAUUUAAGUGUCACGGAAAUUAUAACUACUUAGCAAAUUUUCUGCAUCCCCAACUGGUCUGCAUUUAUAAUUUUAGAUUUACUUUGCCUACCAGUAUGCUAGCACAGAGAUAUAAAUUAGCCCCGAAACAUAUGAUGAACACGCUCAUUUGGUUAUCAUUCCUUGCGUCUAGUGCAGCCAUAAACAUUCGGUGCACCUUUGUAAUGGGACCUUCCUAUUACUUCAUUUUAUUUGGACGUAAACGGGACACUCUCUGUGUAACUUCUCGACCGAAAACAUGAUAGGUAUAAUACUUUCGCAUGAUCUGUUACAUAUUAGUCUUAUACUUGUUCGAACAUCCCUGGGGGCGGAUAGGUUAUUGUAUUACCUAUCUCUCAUGAUUAAUUGUUUACACUUUUGUAACUCAUAUCCAACAUGUCAAAACCAUGAAUGUUGCUUUAGGGACAAGCUGAUUUGUGAAGAAUCACCACUUUGUAUGCUGUCAUGCUUAGCUCAUCUUUAGCAUUUAGGACUUGUCCUUUUGCCUCAUUUUGCACGCCUUGCAUCCCACCCAUAGUCACUUGAAUACCCUCGUGUUGUGCUAGCUGAAUCGUAUAAUGCUUACAUUAUUUGAUAAACUUUGGUUACCCAUACAUACUCAUUUUGUUUAGGAAUGUGUGUGCGCAUUGAACACUUAUGAUUUAUUGCCUUAAAUUGAUAGGCGGACUGGUGCCUACUUGUAUGUGACAUUUGUAUUUAUACCUAUUCGACAUAUGUUUCUUGAUUAUGGUAUGUAAAGCAUAAAGCGCCUAAAUGGCAUAAAUUGCCUAGUCGCAUGUACCAAUCUGACUGAAAAAAUGCUUGGUGUCUAAAUUCUCAUUAUUAUUGAGUACUUACAUUUUCUAAAUAUGCAAGACUGAUUUCAUUAUUAA